rnacentral:rRNA from 1 species
UACGUAGGGGCCGAGCGUUGUCCGGAGUUAUUGGGCGUAAAGCGCGCGCAGGCGGCCUCGCGCGCCCGACGUGAAAGCCCCGGGCUCAACCUGGGAAUUGCAUUUGAGACUGCGUAGCUAGGGUGCGGAAGAGGGAAGCGGAAUUUCCGGUGUAGCGGUGAAAUGCGUAGAUAUCGGAAGGAACACCAGUGGCGAAAGCGGCUUCCUGGUCCAGCACCGACGUUCAGGCACGAAAGCGUGGGGAGCAAACAGG